ensembl:snRNA U6 U6 spliceosomal RNA
GUGUGCUGCUUCGGCACACAUAUUAAAAUUACUACAACAUGUAGAAUAUUAGCAUUGCCCAUGUAAAAGGCUUAGAACAAAUUCAUGAAAGAUUCCAUAUUUUC